GCCCCUGUAGCUCAGGCGGAUAGAGCAGCGGUUUCCUAAACCGCGUGUCGAGCGUUCGAGUCGCUCCAGGGGUACCA
rnacentral:tRNA from 1 species